AACGAACGCUGGCGGCGUGCCUAACACAUGCAAGUCGAACGAGAAAGUUUCCUUCGGGAAACCAGUAAAGUGGCGCAAGGGUGAGUAACACGUGAAUAAUCUGCCUAUGAAUUUCGGGAUAACUUGACGAAAGUUGCGCUAAUACCGAAUAAGACCACGUCUCUUAUGUGAUGUGGCCAAAAGGAGUCUCAAACUCCGUUUAUAGAUGAGUUCGCGGACCAUUAGCUUGUUGGCGGGAUAAUAGCCCACCAAGGCUACGAUGGUUAGCCGGCCUGAGAGGAUGAUCAGCCACAUUGGGACUGAGACACGGCCCAAAACUCCUACGGGAGGCAGCAGUAGGGAAUCUUGCACAAUGGAGGAAACUCUGAUGCAGCGAUGCCGCGUGAGUGAAG
rnacentral:rRNA from 1 species